UACGUAGGGUGCGAGCGUUGUCCGGAAUUAUUGGGCGUAAAGGGCUCGUAGGCGGUUUGUCGCGUCAGGAGUGAAAACUCGGGGCUUAACCCCGAGCCUGCUUCUGAUACGGGCAGACUAGAGGUAUGCAGGGGAGAACGGAAUUCCUGGUGUAGCGGUGAAAUGCGCAGAUAUCUGGAGGAACACCGGUGGCGAAGGCGACAUCCUGGACCGGUAUUGACGCUGAGGCGCGAAAGCCAGGGGAGCAAAGCGGG
rnacentral:rRNA from 1 species